AGAUUGAACGCUGGCGGCAUGCCUUACACAUGCAAGUCGAACGGUAACGCGGGGGCAACCCUGGCGACGAGUGGCGAACGGGUGAGUAAUACAUCGGAACGUACCCAGUAGUGGGGGAUAGCUCGGCGAAAAGCCGGAUUAAUACCGCAUACGACCUACGGGUGAAAGCGGGGGAUCGCAAGACCUCGCGCUAUUGGAGCGGCCGAUGUCGGAUUAGCUUGUUGGUGAGGUAAAAGCUCACCAAGGCGACGAUCCGUAGCUGGUCUGAGAGGACGACCAGCCACACUGGGACUGAGACACGGCCCAGACUCCUACGGAGGCAGCAGUGGGGAAUUUUGGACAAUGGGCGAAAGCCUGAUCCAGCCAUGCCGCGUGUGUGAAGAAGGCCUUCGGGUUGUAAGCACUUUUGUCCGGAACGAAACGCCAAGGUCGAAUAAACCUUGGUAAUGACGGUACCGGAAGAAUAAGACACCGGCUAACUACGUGCCAGCAGCCGCGGU
rnacentral:rRNA from 1 species